UUGAAAGGGAAACGAUUGAAGUCAGUCAUACCAACGGGAAAUCAACCUUUUGAGCUUGGUCUCGUGGGUUUUGAAGAGUUUCAAAGCCUUCGGACUCGCGGGAUUGGGAUCUCUUGGUGUACUUUUUCGUACGGUUAGUCAACAUCGGUUUUGAAUGUCAUAAAAUGACUGGAGGAAUGUAGCUUCGAUCUCGUAUUGAAGUGUUAUAGCCUUUGGUAGAUGUGAUGUUUGAGACUGAGGAUUGCAACGGAUACCCUUCAGGGCUAUUCGUCUGAUCUCUGAUACGUUGCCUUGAUGUUGAAAGCUUGCUUAUGAUGUUAGGGUAUUACGGUCAAAAGGUUAGAACGAAUUACAUUCGUUAAGGAUGUUGACGUA
rnacentral:rRNA from 1 species